rnacentral:rRNA from 1 species
CGAACGGGUGAGUAACACGUGGGCAAUCUACCCUGCACUUCGGGAUAAGCCUGGGAAACUGGGUCUAAUACCGGAUAGGACCUCAAGACGCAUGUCUUCUGGUGGAAAGCUUUUGCGGUGUGGGAUGGGCCCGCGGCCUAUCAGCUUGUUGGUGGGGUGACGGCCUACCAAGGCGACGACGGGUAGCCGGCCUGAGAGGGUGUCCGGCCACACUGGGACUGAGAUACGGCCCAGACUNCUACGGGAGGCAGCAGUGGGGAAUAUUGCACAAUGGGCGCAAGCCUGAUGCAGCGACGCCGCGUGGGGGAUGACGGCCUUCGGGUUGUAAACCUCUUUCACCAUCGACGAAGGUCCGGGUUUUCUCGGAUUGACGGUAGGUGGAGAAGAAGCACCGGCCAACUACGUGCCAGCAGCCGCGGUAAUACGUAGGGUGCGAGCGUUGUCCGGAAUUACUGGGCGU